rnacentral:rRNA from 1 species
CAGUCGCCGCGGGAAUACGUAGGGUGCGAGCGUUAAUCGGAAUUACUGGGCGUAAAGCGUGCGCAGGCGGUUGUGUAAGACAGGUGUGAAAUCCCCGGGCUUAACCUGGGAACUGCGCUUGUGACUGCACAGCUAGAGUAUGGCAGAGGGGGGUGGAAUUCCACGUGUAGCAGUGAAAUGCGUAGAGAUGUGGAGGAACACCGAUGGCGAAGGCAGCCCCCUGGGCCAAUACUGACGCUCAUGCACGAAAGCGUGGGGAGCAAACAGGAUUAGAUACCCUGAGUCCCUGUCUCUUAUACAC